rnacentral:rRNA from 1 species
UACGUAGGGUGCGAGCGUUGCCCGGAUUUACUGGGCGUAAAGGGCGCGUAGGCGGCCACCGCAAGUCGACUGUGAAAUCUCCGGGCUUAACCCGGAAAGGUCAGCCGAUACUGCGGGCUAGAGUGCAGAAGGGGCAACUGGAAUUCUCGGUGUAGCGGUGAAAUGCGUAGAUAUCGAGAGGAACACCUGCGGCGAAGGCGGGUUGCUGGGCUGACACUGACGCUGAGGCGCGAAAGCUAGGGGAGCGAACGGG